rnacentral:rRNA from 1 species
CGCUGGCGGCGUGCCUAACACAUGCAAGUCGAGCGAGGAGAUUCCUUCGGGAUGAUCCUAGCGGCGGACGGGUGAGUAACACGUGGGCAACCUGCCUCAUAGAGAGGAAUAGCCUUCCGAAAGGAGAUUAAUACCUCAUACAUUGCAGGUUUCGCAUGGAACAGCAAUUAAAGGAGUAAUCCGCUAUGAGAUGGGCCCGCGGCGCAUUAGCUAGUUGGUGAGGUAACGGCUCACCAAGGCGACGAUGCGUAGCCGACCUGAGAGGGUGAUCGGCCACAUUGGGACUGAGACACGGCCCAGACUCCUACGGGAGGCAGCAGUGGGGAAUAUUGCACAAUGGGGGAAACCCUGAUGCAAGCAACGCCGCGUGAGUGAUGACGGCCUUCGGGUUGUAAAGCUCUGUCUUCAGGGACGAUAAUGACGGUACCUGAGGAGGAAGCCACGGCUAACUACGUGCCAGCCGCAGC